rnacentral:rRNA from 1 species
UCGGGAAUAUUGGGCAAUGGGCGGAAGCCUGACCCAGCCAUACCGCGUGCAGGAAGAAGGUCCCAUGGAUUGUAAACUGCUUUUGUUUGGGACGAAAAAGAGGGUUCGCCCUUUAUUGACGGUACCAGACGAAUAAGCCACGGCUAACUACGUGCCAGCAGCCGCGGUAAUACGUAGGUGGCAAGCGUUAUCCGGAUUUACUGGGUUUAAAGGGUGCGUAGGCGGGGAAAUUAGUCAGGGGGGAAAGCU